rnacentral:ncRNA from 1 species
UCACACCCUUUCAUUUGAAAUUACAAGUUCAAAGUGCUCUGAAUCACACACUUUCAUUUGAAAUUACAAGUUAAAAGUGCUCUGAAUCACACACUUUCAUUUGAAAUUACAAGUUCAAAGUGCUCUGAAUCACACCCUUUCAUUUGAAAUUACAAGUUGAAAGUGCUCUGAAUCACACACUUUCAUUUGAAAUUACAAGUUCAAAGAGCUCUGAAUCCGACGAGUCGGGUUGUUUGGGAAUGCAGCCCAAAAUGGGUGGUAAACUCCAUCUAAAGCUAAAUAUUGGCACGAGACCGAUAGCGAACAAGUACCGUGAGGGAAAGAUGAAAAGCACUUUGAAAAGAGAGUUAAAAAGUACGUGAAACCGUUAAAAGGGAAACGAAUGGGGUUAGCAAUGCGUCGUGCGAGAUUCAGCCGGUGGGUGGGCCAGGCGGGCGGUUGG